CGGCGGACGGGUGAGUAAUGCCUAGGAAUCUGCCUGGUAGUGGGGGACAACGUUUCGAAAGGAACGCUAAUACCGCAUACGUCCUACGGGAGAAAGCAGGGGACCUUCGGGCCUUGCGCUAUCAGAUGAGCCUAGGUCGGAUUAGCUAGUUGGUGAGGUAAUGGCUCACCAAGGCGACGAUCCGUAACUGGUCUGAGAGGAUGAUCAGCCACACUGGAACUGAGACACGGUCCAGACUCCUACGGGAGGCAGCAGUA
rnacentral:rRNA from 1 species